rnacentral:rRNA from 1 species
UGGGGAAUCUUGCUCAAUGGGCGAAAGCCUGAAGCAGCGACGCCGCGUGUGGGAAGAAGGUCUUCGGAUUGUAAACCACUUUCAGGAGGGAAGAAAUUGACGGUACCUCCAAAAGAAGGACCGGCCAACUACGUGCCAGCAGCCGCGGUAAUACGUAGGGUCCUAGCGUUAUCCGGAAUCAUUGGGCGUAAAGAGCUCGUAGGCGGUUCAGCAAGUCGGCUGUGAAAGUCCGAGGCUCAACCUCGGAAUUGCAGUCGAUACUGCUGUGACUUGAAUUCGGUAGAGGAGAAUGGAAUUCCCGGUGUAGCGGUGAAAUGCGCAGAUAUCGGGAGGAACACCAGUAGCGAAGGCGGUUCUCUGGGCCGAUAUUGACGCUGAGGAGCGAAAGCGUGGGGAGCAAACAGGAUUAGAUACCCGCGUAGUCC